rnacentral:rRNA from 1 species
AACGCGAAGAACCUUACCUGGGCUCGAACGGCUGCGGAAAGCCGGUGGAAACACUGGUUCUCCCGCAAGGGAUCGUAGUCGAGGUGCUGCAUGGCUGUCGUCAGCUCGUGUCGUGAGAUGUUGGGUUAAGUCCCGCAACGAGCGCAACCCUUGUCCUGUGUUGGCAUGCCCGCAAGGGCGCAACUCUCAGGAGACCGCCAGCGAUAAGUUGGAGGAAGGUGGGGAUGACGUCAAGUCAUCAUGGCCUUUAUGUCCAGGGCUACACACGUGCUACAAUGGACGGUACAAAGCGCUGCAAACCCGCGAGGGGGAGCCAAUCGCAAAAAACCGUUCUCAGUUCGGAUCGCAGGCUGCAACUCGCCUGCGUGAAGCUGGAAUCGCUAGUAAUGGCAUAUCAGAACGAUGCCGUGAAUACGUUCCCGGGCCUUGUA